rnacentral:misc_RNA from 1 species
UCCGGUUUGGCACCGGCAGUCUCGUUAGAGUUCCCGCCAUUACGCGCUGGCAACUAACGAUAAGGGUUGCGCUCGUUGCUGGACUUAACCAAACACCUCACGGCACGAGCUGACGACAGCCAUGCAGCACCUAUAUAGAGACCCUUACGGGAAUUACAAUCUCUUGUAACGUCCUCUACAUUUCGAGCCCAGGUAAGGUUCUUCGCGUUGCAUCGAAUUAAACCACAUGCUCCACUGCUUGUGCGGGCCCCCGUCAAUUCUUUUGAGUUUCACCCUUGCGAGCGUACUCCCCAGGCGGCAUACUUAACGCGUUAGCUCCGAAACAGAAAGGGUUGAGCCCUCCUACUUCUAGUAUGCAUCGUUUAAGGCUAGGACUAC